AGUGGCGGACGGGUGAGUAACGCGUAAGAAUCUAACUUCAGGACGGGGACAACAGUUGAAAACGACUGCUAAUACCCGAUGUGCCGCAAGGUGAAACCUAAUUGGCCUGGAGAAGAGCUUGCGUCUGAUUAGCUAGUUGGUGGGGUAAAGGCCUACCAAGGCGACAAUCAGUAGCUGGUCUGAGAGGAUGAGCAGCCACACUGGGACUGAGACACGGCCCAGACUCCUACGGGAGGCAGCAGUGGGGAAUUUUCCGCAAUGGGCGAAAGCCUGACGGAGCAACGCCGCGUGAGGGAGGAAGGUCUUUGGAUUGUAAACCUCUUUUCUCAAGGAAGAAGUUCUGACGGUACUUGAGGAAUCAGCCUCGGCUAACUCCGUGCCAGCAGCCGCGGUAAUACGGGGGAGGCAAGCGUUAUCCGGAAUUAUUGGGCGUAAAGCGUCCGCAGGUGGUCAGCCAAGUCUGCCGUCAAAUCAGGUUGCUUAACGACCUAAAGGCGGUGGAAACUGGCAGACUAGAGAGCAGUAGGGGUAGCAGGAAUUCCCAGUGUAGCGGUGAAAUGCGUAGAGAUUGGGAAGAACAUCGGUGGCGAAAGCGUGCUACUGGGCUGUAUCUGACACUCAGGGACGAAAGCUAGGGGAGCGAAAGGGAUUAGAUACCCCUGCAGUCCUAGCCGUAAACGAUGGAUACUAGGCGUGGCUU
rnacentral:rRNA from 1 species